rnacentral:lncRNA from 12 species
AUGUUGGCACAAAGAGAGAAAACCUUGCUGAGGCGGCUCCACGUCUGGAUGCAGACUUUGUGUCAUGGUGUGAAGGCAACAUGUUCGACAGCAUUCCUGCCGAGGAAAUAUCUUCUCUGAUGGAUGCGGAGGACAAGUUCCAGGUAGCUGGUGGGCUUCCCGGCCAGUGACCUCGGGGUGAAGUUGGACACUGGGGUGAAAUAUCAGACAGCGAUGUGGGUGUCGUCUGUGAUGAUGUCACAGAGGAAGC